CGCCCCGAGGCCCGGCGUCUGCCCGCCCGCACGCCUGCCGCCGGGGGAGGGGCCGCGCGCCGGGACCCAAGACUGCAGCGCCCGGCGCCGGGUUGCUGUGGCGCCGCGGCUACCGCCCGCACCCGGUGGCCGCGAGCCUGGGUCAGAGAGGCUCGGCGUGCGGAGCGGGGAUCGGGGAUGCUCCAGUAAAGGCGCGACCUGGGGCAGUGGGAAGGGUGGUCUUCCUCGCAGAGUUGCGCCCGAGGACGGAAAGUUUUUGCAUGCAGCGCAUCCUUCCCUCGCGGGUCCCUGUCGCCCACGGUGAAGCGCCCCCGCGGGGAUCCCCGCCACUUAGUGGGGAGGGGCCGAGCAGCCCCCUCCCGAGACGGCCACCCAAGCCAGGGAGGGAACCCCGGUGACCUGUUCUCCCAGCCACCACUCCCUCCACCCUUUCUUCUCUCUCACGGUGGACCUUGGGCCGUGGAUGAUGAUGCGGAUGCCUUGGGAGCUGAGACCAGUGGUUCUAAGAACAGAGAGCUGUAAUAACUGGAGGCUGUUGUGUGAGCCCUGUCUUGUGCACCAGCUCAAUUCGGUGACGAUGGCAUCCUGGGUCCCAACAGACGGGGUGCCUGAACAGCGAGUGGCUGCCCGAGGCUGGACCAUGCUGCCCCAAAGGGGCUUCAUUUGCAGUGUGGGCUCACUUCACUCAAGGAAAGGCAGCAGAAAUGCCUUGAGUUGAAACCCCUCUCCAGUGUCAGUUAAGCCAGUGGUCCCCAAACUUCAGGCUGUGUCUGAGACACCCGGAGGGCUUGUUACAACAGAGUUUUACAACGACCCACUCCCAGAGGUUCUGCUUCAGAAGAUAUGGGGCAGGGAUGGAGAAUUUACAUUUCUAGCAAUUUUCUAGGUGAUAGCGAUGCUGCUGGUUGGAGAUCACACUUUGAGAACCACGAGUCUACUCCAGAGCCCACUGCAAACUUAAGAAGCUUUUCCUCUCCAGUUCUCCUUUCUGUGAAGGUGUGCCCUCAGGAACUUCAGAUGUGGGGAGAAGAGUGAAUGGAUGCCAACAGAUGGAAACAGCCUGAGUGUCCAUCACCAGAUGAAUGCAUAAGCAGAAUGUGAUAUAUACAUACAGCGGAAUAUCAUUCAGCUGUAAAAGGGAAUGAAGUACUGAGUCCUGCUACAACAGGGAUGACCUUGCAAACUUGCAGGCAGGCACAUAAGGGCACCUAUUGCAUAAUUCCAUUUUUAUGGAAGGUCCAGAAUAAGCAAAUUCUUAGAGGUAGGAAGUAAACUGGUGACUGCCCGGAGCUGGGGGUAGGAGGGAAUGGGGAGUGACUGUUGAUUGGGUUUCCAUUUGGGAUGAUGGAAAAGUUCUGGAACUAGAUGGUGAUGAUGGUUGCACAGCAUUGUGACUGUCCUUAGUACCACGGAACUGCACAAUUUAAAAAUGGUUAAGACGGUGCCUUUUACGCCAUGUGCAUUUCACCACAAUAAACAUGAAAAGAGUGAAUUGAGAGUUCUAACUCAAAUUGUGGGGCCAACUGAAAGAUUUAUGGGAUAAAGGUAGAAAUACAAUGCCCUAAAUUAAUGGUUCUCAGCCCUAUUGCAUCAAGAAUCACCGGAGGGGGAAUAUCUUAUUCUCUUGUCCUAGCUGUACCGAAGAGCAAUUACAUCAAAAUUUCUGGAGGCGAAGCCUAGGCACCAGAAACUUAAACUUCACCCCUAGGUGAUUCUAAUGUACCAGCAGAGUUGAGAACACUAGCCUGAAAUCUCAAAGACCAAGUAGGUUGAUGACCUAAUUGCAAAAUGACUUGAUCUUCAUCACAGAAAGCGCACCUUCGUCUUUUCCCCAACUGCCUAGGAAGUGGCGUGUAAGUACAAUGAGACUAGCUGUGUGACCUUGGGCAAACCACCUAACCUCUCUGAGCAUCUGUUUUCUCCUAUGGAAAGAACACAUUUCAUAGGGUUUUGGGGAGGUUUACAGGAAAAAGGCCAGUUUCCCAGUUAUAAAAGUGUCAGAUGCUGUUUGGUCAACCUGCAUUUCUUUGCAUCUCAUUCUAGGCCAGAAGGGAGACUCAGUGGCUUAUUUGUGGGAAAACCUAUACUGUAGUAUCUUGUACUACAGUUCAAUUUUCUUCCCCCACCUGAGGGGAAGGACGCUCUUAGGCUGGGAAUUAGUGAUAAUGACUUUUCAAGUCUAUACUGUUGAAGUGAAGGAGAUGGUGAGCUUGGUAAAAAUCCCUUCUCUACCCAUGCUGACUUUCAUGAGCCAAGCUCUAUAAUGAUAUAAAUUACUCUAAGAUAAAAAGGGGUAAAAGUCAUACACGAAUUCCCAACAAUAAAUGAAAUCAUUCAGAUUCUUCAUAUUUCUAUUCAGUCCUUUUUGGUAGGUAAUAUAGAUAAUAUACUUUUAUUCGACUACAAUUAAGGCGUAAUUUUAUAUUCUGUUUUUCACUCAGUAUUUUAUCUUCCACAUUUUGUUGUGCUUCUAUAGCUGUCUUCAUUACUGACAUUCUAAUAGCUACAGAGUGUUCAAUUGAGUAGCCUUACUGUAAUUUAAUAUCUGUCUAUUGUUAAUUCUCUGAUAGGUUCCAAAUUUUCAAUAUUAGAAAUUGUGCUCAAUGGUGUAGUUCCCGUCAUGGCUCAGUGGAAACGAAUCUGACUAAUAUCCAUGAGGACACAGGUUGGAUCCCUGGCCUCAUUCAGUGGGUUAAGGAUCUGGCAUUGACAUGAGCUGUGAUGUAGGUUGCAGACGUGGCUUGGAUCUGGCAUUGCUGUGACUGUGGCGUAGGCCGGCAGCUACAGCUCCAAUCCGGCCCCUAGCCUGGGAAUCUCCAUAUGCCUCGGGUGUGCUCCCCCACCAAAAAAGGAGAAAAAAAAAGAAAUUGUGCUCAAUGAAAAUAUUUCUGCAUGAAACUUUUCACAUCCUUUGGCUUGUUUACUUUAAAUUCCCAUAAAUAAACAGGAUCAAGAGGCCUGAACGUUUUAAGACUCUUGAAUGCACCAUCAAAUUGCUUUGUUAAAGGAUUCUAUCCAUUUACACUGCUACCGUGGGGUGUGGGUGUAUCAUUUUCAACAAAUUGCCAGCACUGUAUUUCAUAAUUUGAAAGAGAUUUACAAAUUGUAGAGCUAUAAUCGAAUUUGAUGUAAGCUAAUAAAUUCUUGUGUCUGA